UUUUAACUUUCCGGUCCAUUUAACACAAAGCUACGUCAUAAACAUGGAGCGCUUGGAAGACGACGAUGUUAUAAUCCUUCUGUCAGGAGGAUCCAAGUGAAGCUACAGGAGUUUCAGCAACGUCAAAAACUGGGACCGAACAGUUUGUUUUGCUUGAUGAGGAACAGGAAGGGCAGCCUCUCCCAAAGAGAAGGAGACCUGGAGAGAAACAGAAGCCGGGUUUAAGCCACUGCCACCAUCCACAUACAUCGAGGAAGAUGAGGGAGAGAAAUUCUCCUACCAUUAAAGAGGGCGAUACACUCAAAGACUUUUUCAGUGGACAUUGCUGAUCUAGUUGAAAGUGGGUACUGGCCAGCAACAGUCAAUUUUAAAACCUUGUAUGCAGUGGAUUGGUUCACUAAAUAUGAGGAUCUCAAGAUUGCGGCUCUGGGAAUGUCACGGCAAGCUUUUGUUAGCAUGCCUGAACAUCGCACAAAAGUCUUAGGUCGCAGAUUAAGAUAUGUGGGGAUACCAUGCAGAAUGCAUUACUGGAAUAGACCUAUGCCAAAUUUGAAGUUGAGAGGCUGUCUCAGGUGCAGCAUUCAGUG